rnacentral:lncRNA from 1 species
UAGAGAUGGGGGGAUCUCACCAUGUUGUCCAGGCUAUUCUCAAACUCCUGGGCUCAAGCAAUCCUCUCGCCUUGGCCUCCAAAAAUAUUGGGAUUUAUAUUUAUAUUUCUUUUGUGAAUUAUCUUUUCAUAUCAUUUGCUAAUAUUUCUAUUGGUUUCUUUCGCCCAGGCUGGAGUGCAGUGNNNNNNNNNNNNNNNNNNNNNNNNNNUGCCUCCUGGGUUCAAGUGAUUCUCCAGUCUCAGCCUCCCAACCUCAGCCUCCUGAGUAGCUGGGAUUACAGGUGCCCACCACCAAACCCAGCUGAUUUUUUUAUUUUUAGUAGAGAUGCGGUUUCACCAUCUUGGUCUCAAACACCUGACCUCAGGUGACCUACCCACCUCGGCCUCCCAAAGUGCUGGCAUUACAGGUGUGAGCCACCACACCUGGCCUAUCUGUACUUUUUUAAACCUCAUAUGAAGAGUUAAGAAUUAUGUAUUUGCUUUGAUUCAAAGGAUAUUGGAUUGUUUUUCCCUUAAACCAAUAUAGUCAAGCAACUUCAAAGGACAUAGCAGAUACUCAAAGCAGUUAUGUCUCAGGUAUCAACCAACAAUGAACCACAUAAUGGUCCCGUAUUAUAUACUGCAGACACUUUCAGGACUCAGUCAUUCCACUCCUAGAAAGGUACACAACAAAAAUGCCUACAUAUUUUCACCAGAAGACAUGAAACAGAAUAUUUAUAGCCGAACAAUUUGUUAUAAGCCCGAACAGAGAGCAACCUAAACGCCAGUCAACAGAAGAAUAGAUGAAUAAAUGGAAGACCGUCAGCAAUGAAAAUGACCCAUAUGCAACUACAUACAACAAUGUGGAUUAAUUUCACUAGCAUAAUGUUGAGAGAAAGAUACCAGAUCCAAAAGUGUGUAUACUGUGUGAUUUUAUUCAUAUAAUGUACAAAAGCAGGCAAAACUAAUCCAGUCUGUUAGAAGUCAGGAUAGUGCUUCCUGGUUGGGGUUGAGGUGGAGAGCUAGCGACUGGAGGAGAGAGC